rnacentral:rRNA from 1 species
AACACAUGCAAGUCGCACGAAGGUUUCGGCCUUAGUGGCGGACGGGUGAGUAACGCGUAGGAAUCUAUCCAUGGGUGGGGGAUAACUCCGGGAAACUGGAGCUAAUACCGCAUGAUACCUGAGGGUCAAAGGCGCAAGUCGCCUGUGGAGGAGCCUGCGUUUGAUUAGCUUGUUGGUGGGGUAAUGGCCUACCAAGGCGAUGAUCAAUAGCUGGUCUGAGAGGAUGAUCAGCCACACUGGGACUGAGACACGGCCCAGACUCCUACGGGAGGCAGCAGUGGGGAAUAUUGGACAAUGGGGGCAACCCUGAUCCAGCAAUGCCGCGUGUGUGAAGAAGGUUUUCGGAUUGUAAAGCACUUUCGGCGGGGACGAUGAUGACGGUACCCGCAGAAGAAGCCCCGGCUAACUUCGUGCCAGCAGCCGCGGUAAUACGAAGGGGGCUAGCGUUGCUCGGAAUGACUGGGCGUAAAGGGCGUGUAGGCGGUUUGUACAGUUAGAUGUGAAAUCCCCGGGCUUAACCUGGGAGCUGCAUUUAAUACGUGCAGACUAGAGUGUGAGAGAGGGUUGUGGAAUUCCCAGU